GAUGAACGCUGGCGGCGUGCUUAACACAUGCAAGUCGAACGAGAAGUGAAGACGAAAACCUUCGGGCGGAAGGCUUUAUUUCGAGUGGCGGACGGGUGAGUAACGCGUGGGUAACCUGCCUCAUACAGGGGGAUAACAGUUGGAAACGACUGUUAAUACCGCAUAAGACCACAGCACCGCAUGGUGCGGGGGUAAAAACUCCGGUGGUAUGAGAUGGACCCGCGUUCGAUUAGCCAGUUGGCGGGGUAACGGCCCACCAAAGCGACGAUCGAUAGCCGAUCUGAGAGGAUGACCGGCCACAUUGGGACUGAGACACGGCCCAAACUCCUACGGGAGGCAGCAGUGGGGAAUAUUGCACAAUGGGGGAAACCCUGAUGCAGCGACGCCGCGUGAGUGAAGAAGUAUUUCGGUAUGUAAAGCUCUAUCAGCAGGGAAGAAAAUGACGGUACCUGAGGAAGAAGCCCCGGCUAACUACGUG
rnacentral:rRNA from 1 species